rnacentral:rRNA from 1 species
CUGGAAACGGAGAGUAAUACCGUAUACGCCCUUUGGGGGAAAGAUUUAUCGGAGAAGGAUCGGCCCGCGUUAGAUUAGGUAGUUGGUGGGGUAACGGCCUACCAAGCCUACGAUCUAUAGCUGGUUUUAGAGGAUGAUCAGCAACACUGGGACUGAGACACGGCCCAGACUCCUACGGGAGGCAGCAGUGGGGAAUCUUAGACAAUGGGGGCAACCCUGAUCUAGCCAUGCCGCGUGAGUGAUGAAGGCCUUAGGGUCGUAAAGCUCUUUCGCCUGUGAUGAUAAUGACAGUAGCAGGUAAAGAAACCCCGGCUAACUCCGUGCCAGCAGCCGCGGUAAUACGGAGGGGGUUAGCGUUGUUCGGAAUUACUGGGCGUAAAGCGCGCGUAGGCGGAUUAGAAAGUUGGGGGUGAAAUCCCGGGGCUCAACCCCGGAACUGCCUCCAAAACUGCUAGUCUAGAGUUCGAGAGAGGUGAGUGGAAUUCCGAGUGUAGAGGUGAAAUUCGUAGAUAUUCGGAGGAACACCAGUGGCGAAGGCGGC